AUAAUGCAAUUCAUGAGGGAAAUCAGAAAGAGAGGUUUGGCAUAAAUACAUUAAACGAAAACUUUAGAAAGAGUUGCUUUAUUUGAACAUUUCUACCAUGUUCUACAAUGAUGUCUGAGAAAUCAGCAUCUCACAAGGAGCUGGGGUCUAACCUCUUCAGCAUCACAUUUUAAAUGGCAUUUUGGUGUUGGCCAAUGCAAUCCCUCUAUUUCCCCUGGGUCCACAUUGAUGUACAGCCCUUCAUGCACAUUGUACCAUGAAAGAAGGCACCUGGCUGUGCUGUGGCAAACCUGAUGGUGCCUUAUUUGAGGGGCCACCUGUGGAAAGAGGACGGAUAGGGAGUGAAGAGCCCUGGGCUCCCACCCUGUUCCCAGGCAAUCUGACCCUGUCACAUGUUCACAGGUUUUAAGUCAAUAAUGAGCAGUUUGCCCAUCGUUUGCAGCAAAUGACAUACUUUGAUCCCCUUAUCAAUUUUCUGAGGCAGGAAUCUUCACUUACAGGAUGAUGUAAGACUUGUGCUUAAGCCCUGCUUAAAUCUUAGCCUUUCCAGUGUCCUCUGCAGGAAGGGUCAGGUUUUCCUCCUCUCUCCUAACUGCUCAGAUGGUGCUAUCUUAAUACUCUUAUUAUGAGUCUUAUAAAUGUUUGUGCUUUAUCUCCUCUGUUAGCUAACUGAGGAGUUUUUGAGAGUAAGUUGGUGUUACUCAUUUUUUUAUCCAUGGGUUUCAGACAGUGUCUGAAGUCUAAAAGGAGCAAAGUGUAUAAAGUGAAAUGAGGUAAAACCUUGCCUCAGUCUUCCAAAUCUUUCAUCUGGGCAACACUAAGGUUUCUUGUGAUCCAAACUGGUGUUUUAUGAUGAAUCAGCUUCCUUUCAAUUUGUAUGUGUAGUUUUUCAUUUUUGUUUCUAUCUGCUUCAAAAUUUUAAAUGUUUAUAGAAAUGUGUAGAGUCUGUAUGUAUUUAAGUUUUAUAGAGUAACAAUUUAUUUAAGGCUCCUUUUAACUCUAGCCUGGUCUGACUCAUUGGCUAAGAAUGUCAGGGCAAUUUAUAGCACAAAAAACAAGUGUUAAAUUCCAAGUGAUAAUAUCAAAUGACACGGUGAAAAUUGUAAAUUUAGCAAUAUAUCAGAACUUAUAACCAGAGCUAAAAUCCAUCUGAACAACGUGUAUUUUUAUGACCAUCUCUUGCACGUGUCUUAGAUCAGUUUUCCAAACACAAAUUGUCCAGGGGUGAAUUCUACUGUGAAGCUGGUUAUCAGAAUUGGUAGAGUUUGAGAUCCCGACUCAGCAACACUUUACUGAGUCAUUCAUUGUGACGGGCAAGAAUAGUCCCGUGGAGUAAUGGUUUUUUUUUUUUAGAGGGGCAGCUGGAUUAGACGUAUAUCAGUAUAUAGGACAGUGAAAGGGAAACAGUAAGUAGGAUGACAUUUAAUUUUUCUCUCUCUUUUUUUUUUCUGAUAUAAUAUUUUUGUUGAUGGAUUAUAUUUCUGGGGAGAAAGGAGGUUUCUAGAUAAGUAGUACUAUUCUUUCAAAUUGAAAAAUAUGAAAUGUGUAAAGAGUUCCUGGGGACUUGACUGAAUAAUCAGUUCUAGGAGCUUUGUCUGUCUAUAAGACCCACAUUUGCUUCCCUGCAAGCAUGUAUUGGUCCUUGGGGCCUACAGGAAGCAAAUGUUGACAGCAGCACUUAAAUCAGUGUGCCAUUCUUUACUGCGGGCAUUUUCGCCUUGUAGAGACAUCACAGUCAUGCUAUCGUGCACUUUUUUCCCUCCUUGUAGAUUACAUUUUCCAGGUGAAUAGAACUUGAAGCCCUCAGAUGAUAUAGCAUCCCUGUGAGAAAUUAUCUAGCUAGUACAGAGACCUAUUCCCAAACAAUUACCAAAUAAAGCAGCCUUCAGAGCCUGCCAUCAUACCACUGUUACACUCCGUCAGGCUCGGCCAUUCCCUGCCAUUUCCUAGGCAGGAAGUGCAUCAUUUUCAGUAGCAUGCCAUGGCCCCUUGUGUCAGACAGACUCUGGGUGUCAGGCCUGGAAAGGUCUUAUUUCUAUGUCGACAGUGACUCAUCUUUCCGAUGCCAAACUGCUUUUAAUGAGGGGGUGUGAGUGGUUAAUACGUGCUGUCUCCCCUUUCUUUCAGAAUUUAUGAAGCCAAGAACCCUGUAAUAGUUUGCUUUGUGGGCACUCACUGAAAUACAUAUUUUGUGGAAUCUAGAAGCUUCGGAGGAUGGCUCAGUGAGGAAACGUGUCCACAAGGUGAAUGGACAGGACAGAGCAACACCAGGGAACGGACUGCCCAGUCCUGACACCGUGAAGACCUGGAUGAAUGGAAACUGAAGCAAAGAGACCCUGUCUGUUUUGUCCAGUGUGAAAUCCCAAGAACCUAGCACAAUGUCGGGCACAGAAUGAACACAGAAGAGGACACCAGGUUACUGUUCUCACAUGCUCACUGAGUGAUACACGUUGAGAAAGUGAAUCUUGGUGAAUCGAGCUUGUCUGACUACUAGGUUCUGGACUGCUUCCAAAUGGGAUGCUGGAAUUGAAAGAACUAACACAAAGGCUUCCGGGACAUGUUGGGAAUACCAAGCUACAUAUUGAUCAGCAAAGGUUAUUGUUCUGAACUGGAUUUUCCUCUCUGAAGAAGAGGCAGCUUCCCAUCAGGCUCUUCAAGGAAGACACACAGAAGACAUUAACAACCUAGCCUAGAUUUGGCUUCUGAAGCUCCACUUGGGCCCUUUUAUUAACUCCUCAGCAAAGGUUAAAGAGUCUUUCGUCCAACUCAACCAUGGUCAUGUUCUUACAGUUAGAUGUGAAGAAGUUAAACAUGGGAAAGAAGGGACUCAAUGGUCAUACUCCUGUUUGCACUGAUUUUAUAUAUUCUCAUGAUUUCCAAAAUUAUAUUUCAGUAUAAAUAUCUCUCCUGAGAUUCUUACGCACAUGUCCAGUUGCCCACUGUACAUUUUCACUUGGGUGGAGAAACCUUGAACUUAACACACCCAGGCUUAAUUAAUCAUUAGCCCAUCUCUCUCAGCCCCUUCUUCCUCCUUCCAUAUUUGUUAUCUCAGUGAAUGGCCUGACCACCUGCUUGGUUACCCUGGCCAGAAACCUGUGUGAUUCUCAUAUCUUUUCAUUCCGUUAGCCACCCAGUUGUGUCAUUUCCUCUUCCAGCAUAUCUCUUGAGUCUGUCCACUUCUUUUCUCUCCAUUUCCCAUGGGAUGUGUGACCCUCCCGAUCAUAAUUACCUAUUUGACUUAUUGCAACAUCUUGUUCCUUGGGCUUCCUGCUUCUGGUCUUUGCACACUGAGUACUUUCUUCCAGAGUGAUCUGGAGAAAUGAAAUAAAAACUCUUAUUUUAUCAUUCCAAACUUAUCAUUGCCCAUUUCAGUGGCUGCCCACUGAUGAGGGUGAAACCUGAGCUUCUUAUUAGGUUUGUGAUCUAACCCUUGGUAACCGUUCCAGCUGACCUUCCAGUAUGCCCCAUCUCACCUCCUAUAACCUAGUCAUGCUUAGUCUCUUGUAGGACUCAGAAAGCACUUUGUUGUCCUUGACCCUGAUACCAUUAGAGCUACACAGAGGAAGAAGGGCCCACGAAGUUGAAAACAAGAAGCCAAAAUUAUAAAAGAAAGUUGGAUUGAGUUGCAAAAUAGGAUAGAGAGCUCAUGAGUGUCAAAUACACCAAGAAAGCAAGAAGAAUAAGGAUGAAAAAGUGCCCACAUUUACAAAAAGAAACCCAAUAUGUAAGUAAGAAAUUGUCUUGUUAAAUUGGGACCAUUGAUCAGUAACAUUUUUUCAAAAUUAAUUUUCAGAGCCUCUGUCUUUAUGUGAAAUUAAACAAUAAAUAAAUGGUAUUCACUGACUAUAGAAUUUAAAAGGUGACAAUUUUGUGAACUUACUGAAGUCAGUUUCAGGGAGACAAUGAUAAUGAGAGCUGAUUGCUCUGGAUCGAGAAGAAGUGAGGUGAAGAAGUGGAGGUAGCUUUUGUAGACAACACUUCUAAAAUAGAGGACUCCGAUGAG